rnacentral:ncRNA from 1 species
GUAAUGGUUGCUGAGUAACGUAUAACAGCGUAAAACACCAUCGCCGGACACGAUCGAAGAGG